CUCUUCUCUCUCUCUCUCUCUCUCUCUCUCUCUCUCUCUCUCUCUCUCUAUCUACUGUCCUCUCUGAGUCUCCUCUCCUCCUCCUCCACUUUUUAUUCUUAAAGCUUGAAGGCUAAAACUUGUGAGUCUGUGACUACGAGGGCCACAGGGUGGUUGUGGGUCUAAUGCAACAAAUGGUCUUCUGUUUGUAAAGAACCCUACAACCAUUCGUGGCCAUGGUUUUGCUAGAGCUUGUAAUUUUUUUUUUAAGUUUAUUUUUUUUAUUUGUGUUUGUAAUUAUUGAAUGAUAGAUUUUAGGGAUAGAUAUGUGAUUCUUUGGAUUUGCUGUUGUUUUCAUAUGGUUUUGGAUUUAUUUAUUUUUGUUAUUUCUCGAUUGUUUUUCCCCCUAAGUGGGUAGUGCACGAGGUGGGGCAGACAGUCGUGCAUGGGGCCAAUUCUGCCCCUACCAUCCAAAUGGAGGCACCCACUUACGGGGAGCGGUGCCAAGGUUUAGAGUCUCAAAUUGUCUCCUCGCCCAUGCAGAGGCGAGGGGUGGGACAAGGGACACCCCCGUCUCACCAAUAUGGAUGGUAUCCAUGUAAUACGAUUCAUCUCCACAUGUAAUGCAAUCAAAGAAGCAUAAUUAUAUUACCAUUCAUGAUUUACUUCUAACACUUGCAUUUUAUGCUUUAAAAAACAAAUAAAUGUGUCCUAGCUAUGGCUAAUUGAGAGGAGAAAGUCGUUCAAAACAACUUUGAAGAUUUACCAAAUAUAUUUGCAAGGAGUACUUAACUCUCUUCACUCGCAUUCAGAAGGAGAAAUCGAUAGGUAAUUAGGCCAUUCAACUUCAAAAGAAGCACAAGGAGUUCUUUGGAAGCAGACCAAUUUUGCUUAAAUUAAGUGGCCGAAGGCCUUUCAAAGCAGCAUGGUUGAUCAAGAUGGUCACAGUUAUAUAUUAGGGAAACAGCAAGAAAGCAUUCGUCAAUUCUCGUCAAUGGGCACGCCGAAGAUAAUCUUUUAACUUUUCAUUUUUAAUAUAACGUAGGCAUGAACGUUAUGUCAACAUACAUAUAGAUAGUCAUAUAUUCCGUUUAUAUAUAAAAAACAGUACAAUAUUAGUGCAUAUUGAUACCAAAAUAUUUCGUUUUAGUAGCUAGUUAAAUCGAAAUAUAUAGUCACUAAACGGAAUUCAGGACUUUAGUUUUUAUCUCAAGUUAUUUGCUAGUUUUUUCCUAUGGUAAUAAAUUAAAAGUGAUGCAUGUACGUUAUAGUCUGAACAUAUUAAUUAGUUUGAUUCUGUUGGUUGUUGAACAGCGAGGAAGAUUAAAUAUUCAUUGUCUUCUUCUUUCUCAUAAUUAAUUUCUUUACUCAAAAGUUUUCAUAAUUAAUGAGUCGUAAUCCAGCAAUAAGAAGAGAUAUGAAGGAAAGCUAAUCGUGAUCAUGAGCCCCAUUCAUAUAUGGACAUUACAGAGAGAAAUUAAUUAAGUAGUGAAUGCAUGCAAACUGUCAAUUUGAAGUUGUAACUUACCGUAAGUGUAGCCUACAAUUAUGUUGAGACUCUUAUAAAUACCAUGGUAUUGCGUGAGCAAUGCCUGCAACAUACAGUAGCACUGAAAUAUAAGAUCAGGAUCCCUGAUCUUAUAAGCUUUUGAAAGAGCUAGCUAGCUCUAGGGUUUAGAUUACAGAAAUCCUAAUCCUUCUGGUGAGUUCCCCAUAGUACUUUUUGUUAGUGCACAAGCAUUUGACCUCGAGAAAGCCUAGCCCUCUCUCAAGCUCACUCAUGUCGUUCAGUUUUUUCCAAGUGAGCAUGCUUGCAUUUGCAUUCGCCUUCCUAAUCACUGUGAGCUAGAGGACUCACAUGAGUAUAGUAUAUAUAUAUGUGUGUGUCUAAUAUGGAUCUAAUAAUCAAAAUAUAUCACCAUUUCUUCCUUAUUUGGCCUUUUUUUUUUGGGGUUCUUUUUAGCCUCACUCUUCUCUUUAGCCGUACACACACAUGCACAUAUUAUUGGUGAAAGGUUUAAAUCGACUUUUGUGUGAAUAUAACUCAACAUAGUCACAGGAGCUAGCUAGGGAUGAGGAGACGAAUGCGAUCAUGUUAAACGAGGAAGAACUAAACGACAUGAGUGAGCUUGACAGAGGACCAAGAUUUCUCGAGGUCAAAUGCGACUGCACCAACAGAAAGUACGGUGAUUUCACCGGAAGGCUAAGGAUUUCUACCUUGGCCAUGUUGUGCUCGCUUGCGAGUCCAAACCCAACUGUCCGGAAGCGAUUUUGACUCCUGAUAAUUUCCUAAAACAUUGCGGGAAAGAAGGGACGAGAAAUUGGAAACGCAACAGUCGGGUCAUCGUAAACGACGAGAAGGUUGCUGUCCAGAAAUGGGUUGAUCGACCCCAGUACUGCAAAAAUGCAUCAAAUAUAUAUGAAUAUCAGUAGUACUGACUCAAAAAGCUCCGAACGUGAACGAAAAUUUCAUCGCGAUGAAUUCAUAAAAUGUUCAACAUGUAACAAGGAGCGCAGGUUUCGUCUUCGAAAUCAUGUCUGUUUCGGCUGCCUCAAAUGCCCUUUUGGACCGUGAUUGCCGCACUUGUGCCUGGGAAAUCAAGCAAGGCCAUAAUUUCCUCAACAAGUGGGUCCAACUCAAUACGCGAAGUAUUCAAUUAAAUAGAGUGGAGAGUAAAGUCAUUGUCGAACUUAUGAACUAUGUUAUGAUAUUAUGUAAAAUUAUUACUUGUUUCAAAAGUUUAAGCUAAUGAGAAAAUAUAAAUUUAAUUAUCUA